CAUGUACUCCCUCUCGCCCUGAAAUACUUGUCGCACAAAUGGAUAAAAUUGGAUGUAUGUAGAACUAAAAUACGUCUACAUACAUCCAUUUUUAUGACAAGUAUUUCCGGACGGAGGGAGUAUGUU
rfam:Triticum aestivum genome assembly, contig: Triticum_aestivum_CS42_TGACv1_scaffold_049519_1BS